rnacentral:rRNA from 1 species
CUGGCUCAGGAUGAACGCUGGCGGCGUGCUUAACACAUGCAAGUCGAACGGAGCUUAGAAGGAAGCUUGCUUUCAUUUAAGCUUAGUGGCGGACGGGUGAGUAACGCGUGAGUAACCUGCCCUUGAGAGGGGAAUAACAUCGAGAAAUCGGUGCUAAUACCGCAUAAUGUCGGAGUACCGCAUGACAUUCCGACCAAAGAUUUUAUCGCUCAAGGAUGGACUCGCGUCCGAUUAGCUGGUUGGUGAGGUAACGGCCCACCAAGGCUUCGAUCGGUAGCCGAACUGAGAGGUUGAUCGGCCACAUUGGGACUGAGACACGGCCCAGACUCCUACGGGAGGCAGCAGUGGGGAAUAUUGGGCAAUGGGCGCAAGCCUGAACCCCCAGCAACGCCGCGUGAAGGAUGAAGGUCUUCGGAUUGUAAACUUCUUUGAUUGGGGAAGAAUAAAUGACCUACCCAAAGAACAAGCCACGGCUAACUACGUGCCAGCAGCAGC